GGGUUAGUAGAUUGGUCAUGCCACUGGUAUGUACUGGUCUCACUGACUCCUCCUUCCUGAUGAACCGUAAUGCCAUUAAUUUGGUGCCGCGGGGAGACUGGACUGUUACUUUGAAAAAAUUAGGGUGUUUAAAGCAGGCUAACGCUUGAAUACACUAGCAUGGAAUAAUGAAAUAGGACGUUCGAUCCUAUUUUGUUGGUUUCUAGGAUUGACGUA
rnacentral:rRNA from 1 species